rnacentral:rRNA from 1 species
GACGAACGCUGGCGGCGUGCCUAAUACAUGCAAGUAGAACGCUGAAGAGAGGAGCUUGCUCUUCUUGGAUGAGUUGCGAACGGGUGAGUAACGCGUAGGUAACCUGCCUUGUAGCGGGGGAUAACUAUUGGAAACGAUAGCUAAUACCGCAUAACAAUGGAUGACACAUGUCAUUUAUUUGAAAGGGGCAAUUGCUCCACUACAAGAUGGACCUGCGUUGUAUUAGCUAGUAGGUGAGGUAAUGGCUCACCUAGGCGACGAUACAUAGCCGACCUGAGAGGGUGAUCGGCCACACUGGGACUGAGACACGGCCCAGACUCCUACGGGAGGCAGCAGUAGGGAAUCUUCGGCAAUGGGGGCAACCCUGACCGAGCAACGCCGCGUGAGUGAAGAAGGUUUUCGGAUCGUAAAGCUCUGUUGUAAGUCAAGAACGGGUGUGAGAGUGGAAAGUUCACACUGUGACGGUAGCUUACCAGAAAGGGACGGCUAACUACGUGCCAGCAGCCGCGGUAAUACGUAGGUCCCGAGCGUUGUCCGGAUUUAUUGGGCGUAAAGCGAGCGCAGGCGGUUUGAUAAGUCUGAAGUUAAAGGCUGUGGCUCAACCAUAGUUCGCUUUGGAAACUGUCAAACUUGAGUGCAGAAGGGGAGAGUGGAAUUCCAUGUGUAGCGGUGAAAUGCGUAGAUAUAUGGAGGAACACCGGUGGCGAAAGCGGCUCUCUGGUCUGUAACUGACGCUGAGGCUCGAAAGCGUGGGGAGCGAACAGGAUUAGAUACCCUGGUAGUCCACGCCGUAAACGAUGAGUGCUAGGUGUUGGAUCCUUUCCGGGAUUCAGUGCCGCAGCUAACGCAUUAAGCACUCCGCCUGGGGAGUACGACCGCAAGGUUGAAACUCAAAGGAAUUGACGGGGGCCCGCACAAGCGGUGGAGCAUGUGGUUUAAUUCGAAGCAACGCGAAGAACCUUACCAGGUCUUGACAUCCCGAUGCUAUUUCUAGAGAUAGAAAGUUACUUCGGUACAUCGGUGACAGGUGGUGCAUGGUUGUCGUCAGCUCGUGUCGUGAGAUGUUGGGUUAAGUCCCGCAACGAGCGCAACCCCUAUUGUUAGUUGCCAUCAUUCAGUUGGGCACUCUAGCGAGACUGCCGGUAAUAAACCGGAGGAAGGUGGGGAUGACGUCAAAUCAUCAUGCCCCUUAUGACCUGGGCUACACACGUGCUACAAUGGUUGGUACAACGAGUUGCGAGUCGGUGACGGCGAGCUAAUCUCUUAAAGCCAAUCUCAGUUCGGAUUGUAGGCUGCAACUCGCCUACAUGAAGUCGGAAUCGCUAGUAAUCGCGGAUCAGCACGCCGCGGUGAAUACGUUCCCGGGUCU